GGAGAGGUACCGAAGUGGCCAACCGGGGCGGUCUGUAAAAUCGCUGGCUCUGCCUUCGGAGGUUCGAAUCCUCCCCUCUCCA
rnacentral:tRNA from 1 species